GAUGAAGAACGCAGUGAAAUGCGAUAAGUAAUGCGAAUUGCAGAAUUCCGUGAGUCAUCGAAUCUUUGAACGCACAUUGCGCCCCCCGGUAUUCCGGGGGGCAUGCCUGUUCGAGCGUCAUUGUCAACCCUCAAGCUCGGCUUGCUGUUGGGUCCCCGUCGUUGCUCCAACGGCGGACCCGAAAGACAAUGGCAGAGUCUGCGGGACCCUGGAUGCAGCGAGCUUCUGGCACGCGUCUGGACGGUCUCUGGGCUUCGCCUCCACCAAUCGUCAACCUGUGAUUGACCUCGGAUCAGGUAGGGAUACCCGCUGAACUUAAGCAUAUCAAUAAGCGGAGGA
rnacentral:misc_RNA from 1 species